rnacentral:rRNA from 1 species
UACGGAGGGGGCAAGCGUUGUUCGGAAUUACUGGGCGUAAAGGGCUCGUAGGUGGCCAACUAAGUCAGACGUGAAAUCCCUCGGCUUAACCGGGGAACUGCGUCUGAUACUGGAUGGCUUGAGUUUGGGAGAGGGACGCGGAAUUCCAGGUGUAGCGGUGAAAUGCGUAGAUAUCUGGAGGAACACCGGUGGCGAAGGCGGCGUCCUGGACCAACACUGACACUGAGGAGCGAAAGCCAGGGGAGCAAACGGG